rnacentral:rRNA from 1 species
CUAUCAUGCAAGUCGAGCGCGGGAGCGAGCGGAUCCCUUCGGGGUGAAGCUCGUGGAACGAGCGGCGGACGGGUGAGUAACACGUGGGCAACCUGCCUGUAAGAUCGGAAUAACCCCGGGAAACCGGGGCUAAUGCCGGGUAAUACUUUUCUUCGCAUGAAGAUGAGUUGAAAGAUGGCUUCUCGCUAUCACUUACAGAUGGGCCCGCGGCGCAUUAGCUAGUUGGUGAGGUAACGGCUCACCAAGGCAACGAUGCGUAGCCGACCUGAGAGGGUGAUCGGCCACACUGGGACUGAGACACGGCCCAGACUCCUACGGGAGGCAGCAGUAGGGAAUCUUCCGCAAUGGACGAAAGUCUGACGGAGCAACGCCGCGUGAACGAUGAAGGUCUUCGGAUCGUAAAGUUCUGUUGUCAGGGAAGAACAAGUACCGUGCGAAUAGAGCGGUACCUUGACGGUACCUGACGAGGAAGCCCCGGCUAACUACGUGCCAGCAGCCGCGGUAAUACGUAGGGGGCAAGCGUUGUCCGGAAUUAUUGGGCGUAAAGCGCGCGCAGGCGGUUCCUUAAGUCUGAUGUGAAAGCCCACGGCUCAACCGUGGAGGGUCAUUGGAAACUGGGGAACUUGAGGACAGAAGAGGAGAGUGGAAUUCCACGUGUAGCGGUGAAAUGCGUAGAUAUGUGGAGGAACACCAGUGGCGAAGGCGACUCUCUGGUCUGUUUCUGACGCUGAGGUGCGAAAGCGUGGGUAGCAAACAGGAUUAGAUACCCUGGUAGUCCACGCCGUAAACGAUGAGUGCUAGGUGUUAGGGGGCUUCCACCCCUUAGUGCUGAAGUUAACGCAUUAAGCACUCCGCCUGGGGAGUACGGCCGCAAGGCUGAACUCAAGGAAUUGACGGGGCCCGCACAGCGGUGGAGCAUGUGGUUUAAUUCGAGCAACGCGAGACUUACAGUCUUGACAUCUUGACUCCUAGAGAUAGGAUUUCCUCCGGGAACAAGUGACAGUGUGCAUGCUGUCGUCAGCUCUGUCCUGAAAUGUAGCUUAGUCCGCCACGAGGCAUCUAGCUAGUUGCAAUCGUGGCACUUAGGUACUGCAGGU